GGCCCCAUCGUCUAGUGGUUAGGACAGCAGGUUUUCAAUCUGUUAACCAGAGUUCAAUUCUCUGUGGGGUCACAA
rnacentral:tRNA from 2 species